GCUUACGGCCACACCUGCUUGGUUCACCCCGAUCUCGUUUGAUCUCGAAAGCUAAGGUAGGUUGGGCCUGGUUAGUAUUGGAUGGGAGACCGCCUGGGAAUACCAGGUGCUGUAAGCU
rnacentral:rRNA from 1 species